rnacentral:rRNA from 1 species
AAAGGAAUAGACGGGAGCCCGCACAAGCAGUGGAGUAUGUGGUUUAAUUCGACGCAACGCGAAGAACCUUACCAGGUCUUGACAUCCCAGGAACCCGGCGUAAUGGCUGGGGUGCCCUUCGGGGAAUCUGGUGACAGGUGGUGCAUGGUUGUCGUCAGCUCGUGUCGUGAGAUGUUGGGUUAAGUCCCGCAACGAGCGCAACCCUUACGGUUAGUUGCUACGCAAGAGCACUCUAGCCGGACUGCCGUUGACAAAACGGAGGAAGGUGGGGAUGACGUCAAAUCAUCAUGCCCCUUAUGAUCUGGGCUACACACGUACUACAAUGGCGAAUACAAAGGGAAGCAAUGCCGCGAGGCGGAGCAAAACCCAUAAAAAUCGCCCCAGUUCAGAUUGCAGGCUGCAACCCGCCUGCAUGAAGUUGGAAUUGCUAGUAAUCGCGAAUCAGCAUGUCGCGGUGAAUACGUUCCCGGGCUUUGUACACACCGCCCGU